AGUAACGCGUGAGGAACCUGCCUUCCAGAGGGGGACAACAGUUGGAAACGACUGCUAAUACCGCAUGAUGCGUUGGAGCCGCAUGACUCCGACGCAAAGAUUUAUCGCUGGAAGAUGGCCUCGCGUCUGAUUAGCUAGUUGGUGAGGUAACGGCCCACCAAGGCGACGAUCAGUAGCCGGACUGAGAGGUUGGCCGGCCACAUUGGGACUGAGAUACGGCCCAGACUCCUACGGAAGGCAGCAG
rnacentral:rRNA from 1 species